UGAAAGCACCUUUGCAAGCUCAGCUGGAAUGUUCUGCUGAGAUUCCAGCGGGGGGGAGGUGAUGUAGUAUUUAUUUUCCCCCUUUUCAGGCUGUAGCUGUAUGGCUUAUAGAAAACUCUUGGGCAUUGACACGUUCCAGCCAGGAAAAUGUGCUCCAUGGAUGUAAAAUGCUGUGUGUUUAGCAAGUUAAUGUGGUGGAAGACUGCAGAAAUCUCUUCAGCAACCAGCCCAGUGGCAGGCUGAGAGUUGAAGUCUAGCGAGCACAUGAUGGAGAGGCAGCGAGAGAUCUUCUGAUGUGAUGCUCUCAGGGGUGUCCUGCCCACCAACACGGUUUGGUCACAUCGUGGCUAGAACACACCAUGUGUGCCUCCCACAGCACUCAAUCUCUUGGUCAGAAUGAUCCUCUUUUGGUCUCACUUUGCAGCGUCAUAGCAGAUUCAUGGCUUUGUGCCCAAAUGUGUGAAUUUAGCAGGGUGAGAGUAGAACAACCCCCAGGGACGUGGGGCUCCCCCAAGAACGCAGCUCAGGUGGGACUUGAGCUCCCCACAUCCAACCCCACUCCGGCCACAGCGCCGUUAUUGCUCCGAACUUUAGCUGAGCACACACCGGCAGCCGCAGCCUCGCUCCACCGCGAAAACACCGGGGGUGGACUCGAUGAUCUCUUUAGGUCCCAACCUUGACGUCCUGCGAGCAGCGGGAGCGUUGCUGCCGUUUCCAGCCGCCCACCCGGGGCAGGACUCAGGGAGCAGCAUUGUGCCCCCAACCCCCUUACAUUCCCCCCGCGGCGGGGGGCGAGAGCUGGGUGGCGGCCGGCGGGGGGAGGCGG